UGGGAGCACCCUUCGGGGUGUGACUGCGUACCUUUUGUAUAAUGGGUCAGCGACUUAUAUUCUGUAGCAAGGUUAACCGUAUAGGGGAGCCGGAGGGAAACCGAGUCUUAACCGGGCGUUAAGUUGCAGGGUAUAGACCCGAAACCCGGUGAUCUAGCCAUGGGCAGGUUGAAGGUUGGGUAACACUAACUGGAGGACCGAACCGACUAAUGUUGAAAAAUUAGCGGAUGACCUGUGGCUGGGGGUGAAAGGCCAAUCAAACCGGGAGAUAGCUGGUUCUCCCCGAAAGCUAUUUAGGUAGCGCCUCGUGAAUUCAUCUCCGGGGGUAGAGCACUGUUUCGGCUAGGGGGCCAUCCCGGCUUACCAACCCGAUGCAAACUGCGAAUACCGGAGAAUGUUAUCACGGGAGACACACGGCGGGUGCUAACGUCCGUCGUGAAGAGGGAAACAACCCAGACCGCCAGCUAAGGUCCCAAAGUCAUGGUUAAGUGGGAAACGAUGUGGGAAGGCCCAGACAGCCAGGAUGUUGGCUUAGAAGCAGCCAUCAUUUAAAGAAAGCGUAAUAGCUCACUGGUCGAGUCGGCCUGCGCGGAAGAUGUAACGGGGCUAAACCAUGCACCGAAGCUGCGGCAGCGAACGUAUCACCCAAGACAACUUUACGGAGUUGACGAUUGACGGAGCGAAGCGACGUCAAAGCGUUCAUUAAAGUCGAGUUGGCUUAGGGAUACGUUCGUUGGGUAGGGGAGCGUUCUGUAAGCCUGUGAAGGUGUGUCGUGAGGCAUGCUGGAGGUAUCAGAAGUGCGAAUGCUGACAUAAGUAACGAUAAAGCGGGUGAAAAGCCCGCUCGCCGGAAGACCAAGGGUUCCUGUCCAACGUUAAUCGGGGCAGGGUGAGUCGACCCCUAAGGCGAGGCCGAAAGGCGUAGUCGAUGGGAAACGGGUUAAUAUUCCCGUACUUGGUGUUACUGCGAAGGGGGGACGGAGAAGGCUAUGUUGGCCGGGCGACGGUUGUCCCGGUUUAAGCGUGUAGGUGUGUGUUCCAGGUAAAUCCGGUUCACUUUAACACUGAGGCGUGACGACGAGGCACUACGGUGCUGAAGCAACAAAUGCCCUGCUUCCAGGAAAAGCCUCUAAGCAUCAGGUAACACGAAAUCGUACCCCAAACCGACACAGGUGGUCAGGUAGAGAAUACCAAGGCGCUUGAGAGAACUCGGGUGAAGGAACUAGGCAAAAUGGUGCC
rnacentral:rRNA from 1 species